ACAGAGAUGGCUCAGCAGUUAAGAGCACUGGCUUGCUUCUCUUCCAGAGGACCUGGGUUCAAAUCCUAGCACCUAUA
rnacentral:tRNA from 1 species